CUGGUUGAUCCUGCCAGUAGUGAUAUGCUUGUUUCAAAGAUUAAGCCAUGCAUGUCUAAGUAUAAGCGAACUUAUACAGUGAAACUGCGGAUGGCUCAUUAAAACAGUUUGAAUUUAUUUGAUGAAUGUAUGAGAAUACUACUUGGAUAACCGUAGUAAUUCUAGAGCUAAUACAUGCAACGACGCCCGACCGUUUCACUACGGAAGGGCUGUAUUUAUUGGAUACCAAAACCAUCCUUCCCUCGGGAAGUUUUGUUUGAUGAUUCACAAUAACUGAUCGGAUCGCCACUGUGGUGGCGACAGGUCAUUCAACAUUCUGCCCUAUCAGCUUUCGAUGGUUGUGUGGUGGACAACCAUGGCCAUAACGGGUAACGGAGAAUCAGGGUUCGAUUCCGGAGAAGGAGCUUGAGAAUUGGCUACUACAUCUAAGGAAGGCAGCAGGCGCGCAAAUUACCCAAUCCCGAUUCGGGGAGGUAGUGACAAAAAAUAACAAUACCGGGCCUUUUUGGGCUUGGUAAUUGGAAUGAGGGAGAGUUAAACGGACCAUCGAGUAUCCAUUGGAGGGCAAGUCUGGUGCCAGCAGCUGCGGUAAUACCAGCUCCAAUAGCGUAUAUUAAAGUUGUUGCAGUUAAAAAGCUCGUAGUUGGACUUGUGUGCGCUGUCCGCGGGUGGCCUGCGCCCAAAAGGGCGUUUCGGUUCGGCCCCGGUGGCGCCUUGAAAUCUGCAGCUGGGGGGACGUUGGCCUUAACUGGUCGGCGACCGCACGCCGGCUGCUCGGUUACUGUGAGAAAAUUAGAGUGUUCAAGGCAGGCAUUGGGUGCAAUUGAAUACAUUAGCAUGGAAUAAUAAAAUAUGGCUCCUGCCGUAUUUUGUUGGUUUUGACUGGUGGGAGUAAUGAUUGAUAGGGACGGUUGGGGGUGCUAGUAUUGAGCGGCCAGAGGUGAAAUUCAUGGAUUCGCUCAAGACUAACUUAUGCGAAAGCAUUCACCAAGGACGUCCUCUUUAAUCAAGAACGAAAGUUGGGGGAUCGAAGACGAUCAGAUACCGUCGUAGUCUCAACCAUAAACUAUGUCGACUUGGGAUCGGCGGUAGUUUUUUCAUUAAGACACUGUCGGGACCACGGGAGAAAUCAAAGUGUCUGGACUCUGGGGGAAGUUGGUCGCAAGGCUGAAACUUGAAGGAAUUGACGGAAGGGCACCACCAGGAGUGGAGCCUGCGGCUUAAUUUGACCCAACACGGGGAAACUUACCAGGUCCAGAGAUGUAGAGGAUUGACAGAUUGAAGCUCUUUCUUGAUCACCUCGGUGGUGGUGCAUGGCCGUUCUUAGUUGGUGGAGUGAU
rnacentral:rRNA from 1 species